rnacentral:rRNA from 1 species
GGAGUCUAACAUGUGCGCGAGUCAUUGGGUGUUACGAAACCUAGAAGGCGCAGUGAAAGCAAAGGCCGAUCCUCGCGGUCGGCUCGGGUAGGAUCCCCGGUCGUCGGCGGCCGGGGCGCACUACCGGCCCGUCUCGAACACGCCGUUGUUGAGGCGGAGCAAGAGCGUACACGUUGGGACCCGAAAGAUGGUGAACUAUGCCCGAGUAGGACGAAGCCAGAGGAAACUCUGGUGGAGGUCCGCAGCGAUUCUGACGUGCAAAUCGAUCGUCAAACUUGGGUAUAGGGGCGAAAGACUAAUCGAACCAUCUAGUAGCUGGUUCCUGCCGAAGUUUCCCUCAGGAUAGCUGGCGCUUCGUGCAGUUUUAUCCGGUAAAAGCGAAUGAUUAGAGGCCUUGGGGACGAAACGACCUCAACCUAUUCUCAACUUAAAUAGGUAAGAAGUCGACUCGCUCGAUUGGAGCGGCAGCGAAUGC